rnacentral:tRNA from 1 species
GGGGGGUUAGCUCAGCGGCAGAGCAGGGGACUUUUAAUCCCUUGGUCGUGGGUUCGAAUCCCACACCCCUCA